UUUGUGUUUCCUCGGAAUUUCCUCGGAAAUUCCUUGGUAUAUUCCGAGGAUUUCAUUUUCCGUCGGAAUGUCCGUCAGAAUACCGCUGUUUUCUUGUAGUGGUAUGCCGACUGCAAAGCUGGGGUACCAUCUAAAGUGAAAUUAUCGGACGUGACUUUCAAGAACAUUAAAGGCACAUCAGCGACAAAGAUUGCGGUGAAAUUAAUCUGCAGCGUAGGCACACCUUGCACUAAUGUUGCUCUUGCUGACAUCAACUUGGUCCACAACGGUCCAGAAGGACCAGCUGUGGGGGCAUGUGCUAACAUGAAGCCUGUUCUCACCGGACAGAUGAUUCCACCUGCUUGCACUGAGAUCGCUAAACCGGGUCCUUGAAUUAUAGAGUCGCUUGUCCACCAAGCAUCCGUCUAAUCUGGGUUAAUUAAGACGCUUUGAUUAGGCUGCGAUGGAAAAGUUUUGAAAUA